rnacentral:rRNA from 1 species
CCUACGGGUGGCUGCAGUGGGGAAUAUUGGGCAAUGGGCGCAAGCCUGACCCAGCAACGCCGCGUGAAGGAAGAAGGCUUUCGGGUUGUUAACUUCUUUUGUCAGGGAAGAGUAGAAGACGGUACCUGACGAUUAAGCCACGGCUAACUACGUGCCAGCAGCCGCGGUAAUACGUAGGUGGCAAGCGUUGUCCGGAUUUACUGGGUGUAAAGGGCGUGUAGCCGGGUUGACAAGUCAGAUGUGAAAUCCUGCGGCUUAACCGCAGAACUGCAUUUGAAACUGGUGAUCUUGAGUACUGGAGAGGCAGAUGGAAUUCCUGGUGUAGCGGUGAAAUGCGUAGAUAUUAGGAGGAACCCCAGUGGCGAAGGCGGUCUGCUGGACAGCAACUGACGGUGAGGCGCGAAAGCGUGGGGAGCGAACAGGAUUAGAUACCCGAGUAGUC